GUUGCAAUCUUUGACGGCUGAAUUUGGCACAACUAACUGACUCACUGUGUGCAUAAUCAGCCCUGUUGACCUGACUGGAGAAUGGCAGAUAGGACGCUUUGGACAAACAGAGCCAGCUACUGAAAACAGAUCUUCAUUUGGGAAACAAAAAAAGAAAAUCGAAUGGAGGAGUAGGAAUAACAAAAUGGAGACAGCAGCAGAAGACAGAGAGAGGUGGACAAGAGAACACCCUCAAGAUAAAGAGACCAGGGCACAGAAAGGGAAGAGGCAAAGAGACAAGUACAUGAGGAAACAUGUCAGACUUGGAGAGACUUGGCAAAGGGAGAAGCUAUGCUCACUAAGUCUGUUUACAGCCAAGUGUUUUCAGAAUCUUGGAAUUUUCUUUUUUGGAGUUCUUCAUACUGUGGACCCAUUGGAAAACUGA
rnacentral:lncRNA from 1 species